UACGGAGGGGGCGAGCGUUAUCCGGAAUUACUGGGUGUAAAGGGCGUGUAGGCGGCACUGUAAGUCAGAUGUGAAAGCUCCGGGCUUAACCGGGAGCGUGCAUCUGAUACUGCAGUACUUGAGUGAUAGAGGGGGCAGCGGAAUUCCUAGUGUAGCGGUGAAAUGCGUAGAUAUUAGGAGGAACACCAGUGGCGAAGGCGGCUGCCUGGCUAUUAACUGACGCUGAGGCGCGAAAGCGUGGGGAGCAAACAGG
rnacentral:rRNA from 1 species